UAUCGGUAGUUUACUACUGUUUGAGGGGAGUGGAAACUGACCCAGGCUUGCCUGUUCAGGAGUACAUUUCUUUUCUUAACCCUUGACCUUUUGAGCACUUGUGUUUCCUCGGCAGGCUUGCCUGCCGAUUGGACAACUUAAUAACCUUUUUAAUUUUCAAUCAGCGUCUGAAUUAUUUCAAUAAUUACAACUUUCAACAACGGAUCUCUUGGUUCU
rnacentral:misc_RNA from 1 species